UUUAAUGUUCAUAUACUGGAU
rnacentral:piRNA from 1 species